UACGUAGGGCGCAAGCGUUAUCCGGAAUUACUGGGCGUAAAGGGCGCGUAGGCGGCUUCGCUAGUUGGGCGUGAAAUGCCUGGGCUUAACCCAGGAAUUGCGCCCAAUACUUCGAGGCUCGAGUGUGGGAGAGGAUAGUGGAAUUCCCAGUGUAGAGGUGAAAUUCGUAGAUAUUGGGAAGAACACCAGCGGCGAAGGCGGCUAUCUGGACCACAACUGACGCUGAGGCGCGAAAGCGUGGGGAGCAAACAGG
rnacentral:rRNA from 1 species